UUUUCCCCCUGACAUCUCUAAACCAUAGACUUCCCUGUUCUUCGCCUAGGCACAGCGCAGGAUUUCCCAUACUACAAUGUUUCCCUGACGGACAGCUCAUCCUAUCUGAGCCCCGACACGGGGAUUAGUCUCUGGUGCAGCGGCUGAAGAGCUAUUGUAUGAAAUUGGUGACCCGCAACAUUGCCUGGUACCUGAUGUAACUUGUGACUUUUCUCAAGUCUCUAUUACUGAAAUUCCAGAACUUGUCUCCUGUUUGAAGAAGCUGGCUUGGAAGGCUAUAGUGAGGUUCAUGUUCAGACUUCAGGAUCUGAAGAAACAUAUGGAGCACAAGCUAAAGCAGAUUUAAAUGGAGGUCCUCGAGAAGUGGUCCUCUGGCUUUCAGCUCAUCAUAAACAGAAGAAGGCAGU